rnacentral:sRNA from 1 species
AGUACUUUUUUUUCCUCUGUAGUUCCAUUUGACUCUAUUGGGUUUUGGCAGUGAUUGAUAACAUAAUGCACCAUGUAGCCCUUUGCAUCUCCAAGUUUAGAUGCAAGGAAAUUACGGGAUAAGGUUUUUCAGGUGCAACAUUUAUCCACGGCAAUUAAAAUUCAUGCUUUUGGGUGUUCUGUUUUUCGCCCAAUUUGCAUUGUUUUGCCAAAUAAUUUAUCUGUUACAUUGAUUUGUUCAAUUCAAUGAGCGAAGCAAAAUGAUGAAGUCAAAACUUGUCUGAUACUGGCAUGAGGAUAUAUUGUUUCAUAAGGAAGAUCCUGCAUUACAUUGAAGAGCCUCGGUGAUCCAGGAAGUC